GACCCGCCACUCACCGUCGCCGGGCCAACUGCCGCCCUUGGCUGAGUUGGUGAGGCGGAGCUUCCUGCAAGGCCCAAUCGACAGGCGGGAGAACCACACUUGAGGCUGCCUGUCACUUGCAGAGUUACCUAUUGUGGGACAUAGUCAAUUACGGGCAAAUUCUAAGGAACCGGUAAUUGGCACCCGAGCCCCUCAGAAUAGCAGCACUAGAGAUGGCAUAUUCGAUUUGGCUAAUCUUCACCAAGGAUAAAGCUAUGAUAAAGCAACCAAUAGAUGGUGAGAGUGGAAACGUCAAGAUAUUCUUUCAGGCUUACCUCUUAACUCAGGCAAAUGAAACCCGAAACCACCCAUCAGGUGAUGGUAACCGCCCUGAACUGACCUCCACUUGGCUCAGAACACCCAGGCCGUUGGAGCUAAACCCCUGACUCAUGCCUGUGCAGAUGGACGAUGGAGUGACCCCUGGAAUGACUGGCAAUUGCCUUUAUCUCAUUAUCUUACUAAAAUCCCCACCCAAGGAGAAGUAUCAGCUUCAUUUCCAUAACAUACAAUGUACAUAUAGGCGUGUUUCCUUAAGGGGCAUGUGUGACUGUAUGCCUGCCUCUACAUGCCAGGACAAGGCUUCCUUAUCUAAAUAUCCAUCCAAACUCCAAACAGAAGUUACCCAUUCAUGCUCUCUCCAGCAGUCCUGGCUUCUUAUGUGCUGCAAAUAAAAGUUUUCUUUGUGCAACA